CAGCUGAAAAAUGUAGGCAAUUGGUCGGAGAAGGAUCAGCUUCAAGGAGCAAGAGCGAAUGAUUUACAUUCAUAAACUGCUUUGACAUGAGUUACGGAUUGUUAGGCUGUGUUCUCAAGGAACUAGUGAAGAUAUACUUACAUUCAAGCAAUCCAAGUGCACAAAGUAAGGAACGAAGCAACUAAAGGUAGCAGUCCAAGUAAACCUGUCCAAAGGACAAGUGCUUGAAGAUGCAGUGAGAUCAGCGCAGCAAGUUGGAAAUGCUGCGGCAACAAGAGCAUUUUUACAAGCAAAACUCAUAAUGGGGCCAAUGGUGUCAUCUGGAUUGGAGUUUGUUGAGACUCCAUAUGUUGGUGGCACCUUGGUGAGGAAGUUAUUAGAAGUGUUGAAACAUUGUUGGGGUCAUAUAUUGGAGAAAUUAUUGAAGCAAAAACUAGGUGGUUGGGUUUUCUCAUGGGAAGCAAGUUUGGUUGUUGGAUUGGUGGGAGGUCUAAUGCUGUAUGAUGUGGGAAAAGGGCUGCAAUUUUUGCUUCACCUCACGAGGACUAAUAGAUUAAUGGAGAAAGCAACUCACUCUUCUUUCCAUUUCUUUCUUACAGUGUUUUUUGGUUUAGUCGGCGACAUCAAGGUUGUUCUCGUGUGUUGAAGCAAUUGAGGAAUCACAAUUGAUCAUCUAAGAAUGAGAUGAGGUGAAAAGAAUAUAGUUUCGUGUUUUUAAUUUCAUAAAAUAUUAUUUCACAACCAAUGAUGUCCUAUCCCUCUUGUUAUUCGAGGAAAAUGAUUGAUAUAUUUCUUCCGUGGCAAAUGGUGGUGGCUAAAAUUUUCUUUUUCCACCACAUAGUGGAAUCUUGACUUUCACAUUUCACAACAUAGUGUUGACAGAAUUGGAAUUUUAAUGUUUUCUCAAUAAUUUCUUGUGACAUAAUACUAAAAAUGUCAUUUUACUUGAACUUCGUUGGCAUGAAUUUUAGAUGUGCACUAGUAGACACUUAAAUUUAUAUAUACAUGAAGUUUUUUGGCAUGAUAGAAGUAAGUUGUCAUAUAAGACAACAAAUUUAUCACGUAAGACGUCAUAUAAGAUUCAAAUAUUUAUAUUUAUAAUCUAUAUCUAAUCCAAUCUAAAUCUAAUCUAUCUAUCUAAAUUUAAUUAUUAAUUAAAUAUAUUAAAAGUGUGAAAGGCCUAAGAAAUGUCGUUUGAACUUCUUGUCCUUCGUUAAAAGUCUUUGUUUUCGACAAAAUCAUCUUUUCACUAUUUUUUUUAAUACUUAAGAAUUAAAAAUUAAUUAAAUAUUUUUAUGAUAAAACUUUUUCUUAUUAGAAGUCCUUAGGAUUAAUUUACCAUUAAUUUUUUUAUUAAUUUUAGAAUUCUAAAUCAACUAAAUUUGAUUUAUAAAAGAUUUGAAAAGUCUAGAAAUAAACAUAAAAGUGUUAAAAAAAUAAUAAUUAAGAAGUACUUAUUUGUUAAAAGUUUUAAGUACAUAAUAAGAAUGUAAUCAAAACAUAAAAAUGAUGAUUUAAAAUAUAUGUGUGAUUAUUAUUAUUAUAUUAAAAUGUAAAGAAUCUUUAAAAGUGAUUUAAAUUUUACACUUCAUUAAAAAUUUCUGCAAUAGAUAAAAUUAUUUAAUUCUAAAUAAUCAAAUAUUACACAUGCAAGUACAUACUAGUAUAUAUAAAAUUAAAUACUUAUCCGUAUGCACAACACCUAAAUAUGUUAUUGCAAGCCAAAUUUCUUUAAGCAUUUUCCGCUUGCACUAAAGGCAAAAUGACAUUUUGGACCCCUGUAUUAUAUCGAUUUUGUAAGUUGGACACUUCUACUUACAUGUUUGUCAUCUGGACCCUUGAACCCACUAAAAAAUAAUAUUUUAAACACUUUUUCGAUGAGUGUAACACACUCUCUCACGUCAGUUGUCAUGUCAUCUUCCACAUCUCUUCCAUGUCAUUUUUAAAUAUAAAAAAUAUUAAAUAUUAGAAUAAAUAAAUUUUAAAAAAAAACCCAACCCCACCCUUCUAUUAUUUCUCUCUCUAGCCUCCCAUUUUUUCUUUUUUUUUUGUUCUUAAUUCUCUCGUUCUCUUAUUCCUGUCUCUCUUCCAGUUUUCUUUCUUUCUUCUUAAUUGACAAUUCUCUAUUUCUUCUUCUUUUUCUUAUUAGAAAAUAUUGCGUUGGCUAAGAAUAUUUGAUUCUUCUUUUUUAACUUUACAGUAAUUUAAGGAUGAUGAUUUUUUAUGAUCCAAAAUUAUGAUUUUUGAAGAGGUAAUUAAACGGUGAUGAUUGAAAUGCAAUUGAAAUUGAAAUUUGAUUCCAGAAUCUGAUUUUUUAUGAUGAUUUUGUUAGCAAAAUUUGAUUCCAUAAUAAAAUUGGAAUGUAAUUAAAAUUUGAGGAUUUUUUAAAUUGAUUAUAUGGUGUUUCGUUUGAAUUGAUUCGGAUUUGAUUAAUUGAAAAUGAUGAUGGUUGAAAGAAAUGAUGGGUUGUUGGUUAGAAAUUUCUGAAUGGAACUGGGGGCUGAGAUAGAGGACAGGGGUGGGGUGGGGGGCCUGGACGGGGCUGGGAUGGUUUUGGGGUAUUUGUGGUGGUGGUGGCAGAUGAACGAGGAAAUUGUUGUUUUGGCUGAACGGAGAAAUUGGUGGUGGCAGGUGAACGGAGAAAUUGGUGAUUUGAGACGGUGUGAUAAUGGGUUGACGGUGGUAGACGGCGUGGUGAUGAGAAGGUGGUUGACGGCGUGGGGGAUGGAAAAGGUGGGGGAUAGGGGAAGGUGGUGGACGGGGUAAGGUGGCGUAGGAGACGGCAGGGGCGGGGAUGUGCUGGAACAAGGGAGGAGGGGUUUUUUUUUUUAAUUUAUUAUUUUUUAAAAUUAUUUAAAUAUUAUAAAAAAAUUAAUUUAAUCACGCACCCAAAAAAUCUCGUGUGAUCACGCAUUGUCCAUCUCAGCAUUUUAAUGUCACGUAUAUAAAAAAUAUUUAAAAUAUUAUUUUUUAGUGAGUUCAAAAAUUUAGAUGACAAAUAUAUAAAUUAAAGUGUCUAACUUACAAAACCAAAUCUUGAUAAAAAUAAGGCAUCACAUGCCUCGGCGUUCCCUUUAUUUAAAAAGGUUUAAAAAAACUUUGGAAUCUGACUCGUCAUCAAAUGGCUGGAUAGCGUGAAUGUGAAUAAUAGAAAAUUUAGAAACAGUCGCCAUGAGCCUUCCCAAAGUCUACCAUCGCUUCUCUUUACUCUCUCUUCACUCUCCUUCUCCCUCUCUACUUACUAAAUCCCUCUUCUUCACUUCUUCUUCUUCUCUCC
rnacentral:lncRNA from 1 species